GUGACAUGUCUCCGGGGAGCCCUUCGAGGCAGUGGGCCCCCAGACGACUGUCUCCCCUUGCCUUAUCAUAGUUAAGUUACGCCCAUGCUUUCUUCAGAUCUUAUGGUGGCCAUGAUCUAGAAUAGUUACAGAGAAAACUAUGGAAACGAACUACCACAUUUGCUGAAGACUUACCGACAAUAGAAGAUUGGCUUGCCAAGGCAGAAAGUGUUCUGUUGCACCUAGUACUACACACUAAUUAAAAUUGUUUGCACACAGAAAACUGAAGGAAAAAGGUCACACCAACAGGAGAGCCGAUGAAAUCCAAGAUAAUGAAUUGCCCUUUUCAUCACCAACAUAAGGAACUGCAAAGGUCCAAGUUUUAAUUCUUCAGAAUUAGAAAUUCUGUCAUCUGACACACCAUCUGUGUCCUUUUCUCCGCUUCGGAAUCCAUUACAC